UGGACAUCUAGCGAAGAUUGCAGAGAUGCAGGUUGUGCCUUUCGGGAAACGCUAAGACAGGUGCUGCAUGGCUGUCGUCAGCUCGUGUUGUGAAAUGUUGGGUUAAGUCCCGCAACGAGCGCAACCCUUUAUCCUUAGUUGCCAGCACGUAAUGGUGGGAACUCUAGGGAGACUGCCGGUGAUAAACCGGAGGAAGGUGGGGACGACGUCAAGUCAUCAUGGCCCUUACGAGUAGGGCUACACACGUGCUACAAUGGUACGUACAGAGGGAGGCAAGCUGGCGACAGUGAGCGGAUCUCUUAAAGCGUAUCGUAGUCCGGAUCGCAGUCUGCAACUCGACUGCGUGAAGUCGGAAUCGCUAGUAAUCGCAAAUCAGAAUGUUGCGGUGAAUACGUUCCCGGGCCUUGUACACACCGCCCGUCACACCAUGGGAGUGGGUUGCAAAAGAAGUAGGUAGCUUAACCUUCGGGAGGGCGCUUACCACUUUGUGAUUCAUGACUGGGGUGAAGUCGUAACAAGGUAACC
rnacentral:rRNA from 1 species